GAUGAACGCUGGCGGCGUGCCUAAUACAUGCAAGUCGAGCGAACGGACGAGAAGCUUGCUUCUCUGAUGUUAGCGGCGGACGGGUGAGUAACACGUGGAUAACCUACCUAUAAGACUGGGAUAACGUCGGGAAACCGGAGCUAAUAACGGAUGAUAUUUUGAACCGCAUGGUUCAAAAGUGAAAGACGGUCUUGCUGUCACUUAUAGAUGUAUCCGCGCUGCAUUAGCUAGUUGGUAAGGUAACGGCUUACCAAGGCAACGAUGCAUAGCCGACCUGAGAGGGUGAUCGGCCACACUGGAACUGAGACACGGUCCAGACUCCUACGGGAGGCAGCAGUAGGGAAUCUUCCGCAAUGGGCGAAAGCCUGACGGAGCAACGCCGCGUGAGUGAUGAAGGUCUUCGGAUCGUAAAGCUCUGUUAUUAGGGAAGAACAUAUGUGUAAGUAACUGUGCACAUCUUGACGGUACCUAAACAGAAAGCCACGGCUAACUACGUG
rnacentral:rRNA from 1 species